rnacentral:rRNA from 1 species
UACGUAGGGGGCAAGCGUUGUCCGGAAUCCUUGGGCGUAAAGCGCGUGUAGGCGGCUCGGUAAGUCUGCUGUGAAAGUCCAGGGCUCAACCCUGGGAUGCCGGUGGAUACUGUCGAGCUCGAGUCCGGAAGAGGCGAGUGGAAUUCCUGGUGUAGCGGUGAAAUGCGCAGAUAUCAGGAAGAACACCAAUGGCGAAGGCAGCUCUCUGGGACGGUACUGACGCUGAGACGCGAAAGCGUGGGGAGCGAACAGG